GAUGAACGCUGGCGGCGUGCUUAACACAUGCAAGUCGAACGGAAAGGCCCUGCUUGCCGGGUACUCGAGUGGCGAACGGGUGAGUAACACGUGGGUGAUCUGCCCUGCACUUCGGGAUAAGCCUGGGAAACUGGGUCUAAUACCGGAUAGGAGCCAUUUUUAGUGUGAUGGUUGGAAAGUUUUUUCGGUGUAGGAUGAGCUCGCGGCCUAUCAGCUUGUUGGUGGGGUAAUGGCCUACCAAGGCGGCGACGGGUAGCCGGCCUGAGAGGGUGGACGGCCACAUUGGGACUGAGAUACGGCCCAGACGCCUACGGGAGGCAGCAGGGGGGAAUAUUGCACAAUGGGCGCAAGCCUGAUGCAGCGACGCCGCGUGGGGGAGGACGGCCUUCGGGUUGGAAACUCCUUUCGCUAGGGACGAAGCUUUUUGUGACGGUACCUAGAGAAGAAGCACCGGCUAACUACGUG
rnacentral:rRNA from 1 species